rnacentral:rRNA from 1 species
GACGAACGCUGGCGGCGUGCUUAGCACAUGCAAGUCGAACGGAAAGGCCCUGCUUUUGUGGGGUGCUCGAGUGGCGAACGGGUGGGUAACACGUGAGUAACCUGCCCUUGACUUUGGGAUAACUUCAGGAAACUGGGGCUAAUACCGGAUAGGAGCUCCUGCUGCAUGGUGGGGGUUGGAAAGUUUCGGCGGUUGGGGAUGGACUCGCGGCUUAUCAGCUUGUUGGUGGGGUAGUGGCUUACCAAGGCUUUGACGGGUAGCCGGCCUGAGAGGGUGACCGGCCACAUUGGGACUGAGAUACGGCCCAGACUCCUACGGGAGGCAGCAGUGGGGAAUAUUGCACAAUGGGCGGAAGCCUGAUGCAGCAACGCCGCGUGCGGGAUGACGGCCUUCGGGUUGUAAACCGCUUUCGCCUGUGACGAAGCGUGAGUGACGGUAAUGGGUAAAGAAGCACCGGCUAACUACGUG